rnacentral:rRNA from 1 species
UACGUAGGGUGCGAGCGUUAAUCGGAAUUACUGGGCGUAAAGCGUGCGCAGGCGGUUCGUUGUGUCGGCGGUGAAAGCCCCGGGCUCAACCUGGGAAUGGCCGUUGAAACUGGCGAACUGGAGUGUGGCAGAGGGGGGUGGAAUUCCACGUGUAGCAGUGAAAUGCGUAGAGAUGUGGAGGAACACCGAUGGCGAAGGCAGCCCCCUGGGCCAACACUGACGCUCAGGCACGAAAGCGUGGGGAGCAAACAGG